CGCCUGGGGAGUACGGCCGCAAGGUUAAAACUCAAAUGAAUUGACGGGGGCCCGCACAAGCGGUGGAGCAUGUGGUUUAAUUCGACGCAACGCGAAGAACCUUACCUGGCCUUGACAUCCAGAGAGCUUUCCAGAGAUGGAUUGGUGCCUUCGGGAACUCUGAGACAGGUGCUGCAUGGCCGUCGUCAGCUCGUGUCGUGAGAUGUUGGGUUAAGUCCCGUAACGAGCGCAACCCCUAUCCCUGGUUGCUAGCAGGUAAUGCUGAGAACUCCAGGGAGACUGCCGGUGACAAACCGGAGGAAGGUGGGGAUGACGUCAGGUCAUCAUGGCCCUUACGGCCAGGGCUACACACGUGCUACAAUGGCGCGUACAGAGGGCUGCCAACUCGCGAGAGUGAGCCAAUCCCUUAAAACGCGUCGUAGUCCGGAUCGGAGUCUGCAACUCGACUCCGUGAAGUCGGAAUCGCUAGUAAUCGCGAAUCAGAAUGUCGUGGUGAAUACGUUCCCGGGCCUUGUACACACCGCCCGUCACACCAUGGGAGUGGAUUGCACCAGAAGUAGUUAGUCUAACCUUCGGGAGGACGAUUACCACGGUGUGGUUCAUGACUGGGGUGAAGUCGUAACAAGGUAACCGUA
rnacentral:rRNA from 1 species